AAGUCGUAACAAGGUUUCCGUAGGUGAACCUGCGGAAGGAUCAUUAAUACGUUCUAAACAAACGUUUUAAACUCCAAAAUUUUAAUAGUGGAAAUAUAACUUCCGGAUGCAUUUGUAGGGAGGGGAAGAUUAGACCUUAAAACAGUCUGGUUUUCUCCUUCUUGAAAAGGAAACUUCAUGCACUUCUUGUGAGUGUGUGACACUUCAGAGUAGAGCAGUGAGGUGAAAACUUCGGUUUUGGUUUCUGAAAUACAUCUGUAUCCGGUUAUUCUCUGUUCUACAACCCUUUUUAUUAAACAAUAAACCCCCUGUACAACAACUUGAACUAAACAAAUUUUGUUUUCUCUUUUUGAGAGGAAAUGAAGUAAAAUCUGAACUUAAGAACAACUCUUAACAACGGAUAUCUUGGUUCUC
rnacentral:misc_RNA from 1 species